GAUGAACGCUGGCGGCGUGCCUAAUACAUGCAAGUCGAGCGAACAGAUGAGGAGCUUGCUCCUCUGACGUUAGCGGCGGACGGGUGAGUAACACGUGGAUAACCUACCUAUAAGACUGGGAUAACUUCGGGAAACCGGAGCUACUACCGGAUAAUAUAUUGAACCGCUUGGUUCAAUAGUGAAAGACGCUUUUGCUGUCACUUAUAGCUGGAUCCGCGCCGGAUUAGCUAGUUGGUAAGGUAACGGCUUACCAAGGCGACGAUGCGUAGCCGACCUGAGAGGAUGAUCAGCCACACUGGAACUGAGACACGGUCCAGACUCCUACGGGAGGCAGCAGUGGGGAAUAUUGCACAAUGGGCGAAAGCCUGAUGCAGCAAUACCGCGUGAGUGAAGAAGGUCUUCGGGUCGUAAAGCUCUGUUGUUGGGAAAGAAAAGAAGUAGGUGAAUACCCCGCUGUUCUGACGGUACCUAAAGAAAAAGCAACGGCUAACUUCGUG
rnacentral:rRNA from 1 species